rnacentral:rRNA from 1 species
GGCGGGACACGUGAUAUCCUGUCUGAAUAUGGGGGGACCAUCCUCCAAGGCUAAAUACUCCUGACUGACCGAUAGUGAACCAGUACCGUGAGGGAAAGGCGAAAAGAACCCCGGCGAGGGGAGUGAAAAAGAACCUGAAACCGUGUACGUACAAGCAGUGGGAGCACCCUUCGGGGUGUGACUGCGUACCUUUUGUAUAAUGGGUCAGCGACUUAUAUUCUGUAGCAAGGUUAACCGAAUAGGGGAGCCGGAGGGAAACCGAGUCUUAACCGGGCGUUAAGUUGCAGGGUAUAGACCCGAAACCCGGUGAUCUAGCCAUGGGCAGGUUGAAGGUUGGGUAACACUAACUGGAGGACCGAACCGACUAAUGUUGAAAAAUUAGCGGAUGACCUGUGGCUGGGGGUGAAAGGCCAAUCAAACCGGGAGAUAGCUGGUUCUCCCCGAAAGCUAUUUAGGUAGCGCCUCGUGAAUUCAUCUCCGGGGGUAGAGCACUGUUUCGGCUAGGGGGCCAUCCCGGCUUACCAACCCGAUGCAAACUGCGAAUACCGGAGAAUGUUAUCACGGGAGACACACGGCGGGUGCUAACGUCCGUCGUGAAGAGGGAAACAACCCAGACCGCCAGCUAAGGUCCCAAAGUCAUGGUUAAGUGGGAAACGAUGUGGGAAGGCCCAGACAGCCAGGAUGUUGGCUUAGAAGCAGCCAUCAUUUAAAGAAAGCGUAAUAGCUCACUGGUCGAGUCGGCCUGCGCGGAAGAUGUAACGGGGCUAAACCAU